UAAAAACAGAUUUUAUGUUGUUGUUGUUGGUACCAGGGAUUGAUCCCAGUGAUCCCUGGAUACAACCCUAGCCCUUUUUUACUUUUCAUUUUGAGACAUGGUCUUAAUAAAUUGCUUAGGGCUUUGCUAAGUUGCUGAGUCUGGCUUUGAACUUGUGUCCAUCCUGCCUGAGUUUCCUGAGCCAAUUGGAUUAUAGGCAUGCUCCAUUGUGCCCAGUAAAAACUGAUUAUUAAAAUGUUCAGUGAAAUUUGGCUGGGGCUGGGGCUCAGUGGUAGAGCGCUCGCGCAGCAAGGCGCUAGGUUCGAUCCCCCACACCAUAUAAAAAGAAAACAAAAAUAAAAUUAACGUUAAAAAAAACUUAAAAAACGUUUAGUGAAAUAAAAGAAGAGCUAAUGAAUUAAUUAAGAAAGCAAUGCAGGAAAUGAAAGACCAUUUCAGUAAAGAAAUAGAAAUAUUAAAGACAAACCAAUCAGAAUUCCUGGAAAUGAAAAACACAGUCAAAUUAAAAACUCACUUGUAAUCAUCACCAACAGAUUACACUGCAUAGAAUAUAGAACCUCAGGCCUUGAAGACAGGGUACAUGAAGUUGAACACAUAGUAUGCAAUAAAGGGAAAAAUUAAUAGAAAUUGACCAAAAUAUACAAGAAUUUUGUGAUAAUAUCAAGAGACCCAACUUGAGAAUAAUUGGGAUAUAAGCUAAAAUCAUUAACAACAUCAAGAACGUUUUCAAUGAUAAGAGUAAAAGAAAACUUUUCCAGUAUCAGAAAUGAGAUAGACAUCAAUGUACUGGAGGUAUACAGGAUCCUAAAUAGACCAAAUCAGACGAGAAGCUCUUCAAGACACAUCAUAAUCAAAAUGCCAAACAUAGAAAGUUAGGAAAAACUAUUAAAAGGGACAGGAGAGAAAUAUCAGGUCACAUUUAAAAGAAACCAAUAAAUCUCACUUCUGACUUCCCAAUUCAGAUGCUAAAAUGAAUGAGAGCCUGGAAUGAGAUAUUGCAAGCUCUAAAAGAAAAUAAUUGCCAACUAAGAUUGCUGUGCUCAUCAAAGCUUUCUUUCAAAUUUGAGGGGGAUAUAAAAACUUCCCAUGACAACGAUAAGCUGAAAUUUCAAAUAUAUGACCACCAAGCUAAAGAAUACUUAAAUAUAAACAGCUCACAGGGCUGGGGAUAUAGCUCAGUUGGUAGAGCACUUGCCUUGCAUGUACAAGGCUAUGAGUUCAAUCCCCAGCACCACAAAAGAGGAAAAAAAAAAAAAAACAAAACUGCACACAGAGGAACCCAAAAACAAAUCUUAAAGUUCCCAAAGAAGAUCAGUAGAAGAGUAAUCAUCUCAAUGAGAAUCAAGACAAUUAAAUAUAGCAAAGAAUCAGAAUGGCAGAAAGCCACUAACAUCC
rnacentral:lncRNA from 1 species